rnacentral:lncRNA from 1 species
UCUGGACAGAAGGACAGAGGGGGCUUUAGUUCCAAACUAAACUUUAUUGUUUAAGUCAGUUUGUGGCUGAUUGUGAGGAAUGAGGUAACGUGCUCUCAAAACACACAGCUGAAACGCUGGAAAUUCACAGAGUUUCAUUUCAGACCAGACAGAAACAUCUGCCUGGAGGCGUGUCAGAGGUUCUUCUUUCAAUAUUAUGUUUUUAACCUUGACAAGUCAUAUCAAAGGAAACAGCUGAAGAAGAGGCUGGAGAAUGCAGAAGUGUAUGAUGAAGAAUUGGAUAUUUGCACCCACAGUUUUGCACAAAAGGUUAGGUGAAGGAAUGCUGUCCAGCAAGGUCUGAAGGGCAGGAAGUGGGAAACAGCACACUGAGGCCUUGUGUUUAUUGAGCAUGUGGAUCAGCCUGACCAGAAUUCUCAGGUGAGUCACCUGGACACUUUACCACUAGUUGCUAGGCAAUAAACCAGGAGGACAAAUCAUUGGCCAGAAGCAGUAAAC